AAAAGAGUCAGGUUUGCACCAGAAAUAGGGAAUUAAGAUGGAACCAGAUUCCUUUUGAAAAGAGGAAAAACAAAAACAAGCAAUAAUAUUGCAGUGGUCUGAUAGCUGAUUGGAUGGUACAAGGAUUAUCGGUGGGCUGCUGCUGCUGACCUGAUUUUCCAUUCAUCCAUGGGAGGGGAAUAUCCAUCACAUAAGCAUCAAUUCAAAGAUGUCUUUAUCCUAAAAGGAUCAGAUUCCAUAACUAGUCACACCAAUUCAGAAAAGGCGAGGAAGCAAUGCAUAAACAUCCCUCUCAAGCUACCAGCUAAAAGAGAAAGAAGCUUCAUUGACAUUCGAGCCAAAAGUGCACGUUUAAAACUGCAGAAAAAACAUUUUCUAUAAGAAACAUAGACAAGAAACAAAGGAUCAUGUCUCUAUCUAUCAAUGAUAUUGAACAGUUACAGGAGGCACAAGCAUUCAGGAAGUAUUAUUAUUAUACCAGCCAAACCUUCAUUGGUUGCAGCAUUUGGGACUUAGAUUAGAGACACCUAAACAUCAAUGUAUACCCUUUCCAUCCACUCAAGAUAUUAAUCAGACAGCAAAGUCAGCCAAGAGUAUUAGGAGCCAUAGCAUAGGAAGAAACAUUUUCUUUCGGGACAGAUGUACCUCUUUUCGUCCUACUGCAACCAAUUAAUCUACAGGGUGCAAAACCUUGACUAGAUUGGGAAAGCGCAUCCAAGUGCCCUCAAAGACAACGAAGUUCAGGACUUUUGGUCCAUUUACACUGCAAAAUUCCGAAGAAAUGAUUAACUGUUUUAGCCUUCCACCUCCUGUAUGACACCAUAAGUCAGCAGGUUUUUGGGAAAUCCCGAUUAUACCUGGGCCAAACACAAUCUAAUCUUGACAGCUAUUAUGUUGACAAAGAGUACUAGUACAGAACAAAGACUUUCAAGGGCCCUACUGAAGCAAUAAAGGAGAUGCUUUUAUCCUCAACUUUUCUCAAAAUGUGUUUGGAGCUUUUGACAAAAAGGAAGACAGAAGCUGUUGGCAGAGUAGAAUAGAGGGGGUGCUAGAAUCAGGCGCCUUACAGAAGCAUCUUGUUGCUCUACACAAAAUCUCAUUUAUAUUACAAGAAGUCCGUUUCAAGUCUAGCUUUACACAUUACCACUAUGACAUGAGCUAUCUACAAGGCCAUAUCAGAGAUACAGUAAGAAAUAAGCUACCAGAUGGAGAAUAUAUUCCUCUGCUCUGGCCGCAGGAUAAUGAUCAGAAUUCUUGAACUGCAGAGAAAAAUGAUCAGAAUUAGCAACCUAAUACGAAUUAGGAACUUCAUCUGCCUUCGAAUCUUUCUAUUCAAACUUCGGCUCCUUUUUAUUUUUUUCCCACUGUUUUGUAGAAUAUAAAUUUUCAUCUCAAUUACUUCUUUAAAAAAAUAAGAAACUACAUACAUUCUUCAAAUCCAGCUCCAGGAUCUUCAAUACAAAUCAGUUUCCAUGUUAAAAAUUAGGCCCUCUUCAAAACUUUGUCAUCAGAAUAUUUUUAGUUAGGAGCUUUUUUCAGGUGUCAAGAAAAGUGGACAUAGGAUAUCAUAUACCCAUAAGAUAAUCCAAGCCCCUAACCGGUAGGUUCUGUGCAACAGAUCUAAAUAGUAAUGAUACUUUUAAAUGUUGGAUUUUGUGACUGUUGGAGAAUAACUUCAGACAAAAUCCAACUCUGCCUUCCUACAAACAUUCACAGCACAAAAAUAGCAGUCUUGCAAACUGCAAUGCCAUCCCUCCUCUUUCCUAAUCACUAGUUUCAUGAAAUCACAUUUAUCGUAGUUUAUUUAUACACCAAAUUAUUCAUCUACAACUCAUAUAAGAAAAAGGAAAACCAGUAAAUGAAAAGUUGCCACCAUAGAGAAGUCCACUUAUUUUAGAACCCAAAAAGUAGUGUGUUAGCCAAAAAGUAUAGAAACCUUCAGCAGAGAGCAUGGAAUCAGUCUCUCUCAUACACACAUACCCACACAGAUCAUCAAAAGAAAGCAUUAGCAUUCAGCAACCAGACCCCAAAAACAUCCCCAUCCCACCACUGUCACAGUUCCCCACCCCCUAAAAACAUUCCCCAAUGCCAUAACAGAAAGCACCCCCCAUUAAAAAAAAAAAAACCCAGAAAUUAGUGGAAAAACUCACGUAGAAAGCAAAACAAAAACCAUGCACAGUGACACUCACCACUGAAUGCAAAAACCCUCAGUCCAAAAACUAAACACCUCCAACAUCUCCUCCACUUCCACCACCACCACCUAGCACAAGGAUGACACCAUGACAAACUCCACGGCCCAACCGGACCAGCACCAGCCUCCGCAACCAGAACAGCCACCAAGACCCCCACAAGUUAUCCGGAAACUUAUCGUGGAAGUUGUGGAGGCCCGCGACCUCCUCCCGAAAGAUGGCCAGGGCAGUUCAAGCCCAU
rnacentral:lncRNA from 1 species